UACGAAGGGGGCUAGCGUUGUUCGGAAUUACUGGGCGUAAAGCGUGCGCAGGCGGCUUCUCAAGUCAGGGGUGAAAGCCCAGAGCUCAACUCUGGAAUUGCCUUUGAGACUGAGUGGCUUGAAUCCGGGAGAGGGAUGCGGAAUUCCAGGUGUAGCGGUGAAAUGCGUAGAUAUCUGGAGGAACACCGGUGGCGAAGGCGGCAUCCUGGACCGGCAUUGACGCUGAGGCGCGAAAGCCAGGGGAGCAAACGGG
rnacentral:rRNA from 1 species